rnacentral:misc_RNA from 1 species
GGGAAAAAUGGAUGUCCAGCACAGUAAAGACAUACGGUGCCCCAAAUUCAAAACAAAUUUUACUUAAUCACGACAAUGAUUACAACACUCUAAAAACUUAUUCAAGCUACAGCAUCAAAGGAAAGUCCGAUCAACGGCGAUGGUCUUGAAGGUAAAUGACACUUACACAAAGGUAAGGCUAAAGAGAGACCAUUAUUCCCU